rnacentral:rRNA from 1 species
UGGCCAGACUCCUACGGGAGGCAGCAGUGGGGAAUAUUGCACAAUGGGGGAAACCCUGAUGCAGCGACGCCGCGUGAGUGAAGAAGUAUUUCGGUAUGUAAAGCUCUAUCAGCAGGGAAGAAAAUGACGGUACCUGAUUAAGAAGCCCCGGCUAACUACGUGCCAGCAGCCGCGGUAAUACGUAGGGGGCAAGCGUUAUCCGGAUUUACUGGGUGUAAAGGGAGCGUAGGCGGACGCUUAAGUCAGCGGUAAAAUUGCGGGGCUCAGCCUCGUCGAGCCGUUGAAACUGGGUGCCUUGAGUGGGCGAGAAGUACGCGGAAUGCGUGGUGUAGCGGUGAAAUGCAUAGAUAUCACGCAGAACUCCGAUUGCGAAGGCAGCGUACCGGCGCCCAACUGACGCUCAGGCACGAAAGCGUGGGUAUCGAACAGGAUUAGAUACCCCCGUACC